ACUAGAGUUAUAGAGCUGCCAGAAUAGGAGAGGAGGGGGGGAGGAUGAUAUGCAAUUUUCAGAAACCUCAGUAAAAAUGCAUUUUUCUAUUCCUUUUUAUUCAUCCACAAAUUUCAAUUAUAAUGUGUUUCUACGGUGCUGCCAUUUCCCAAAAACACUUUAUGCCUUUGCAAGUAAGAUUGUAUCAUUUAAGCUAUUCUCUAAUGGAGAUCAAUAUGUAUUGAUCAAAUUGUUCUGUGGCCAGUAUUUUGCAGAUCGGGAUAUAUUCUGUGCUGGCCGUGUUACUGAGGAGGAUCUGCAGAGGGUGGCAGCUGCUACUGGUGGAACAGAACAGACAACUGUGAACAAUGUUAUUGAUGAGGUUCUUGGAUCAUGUGAGAAUUUUGAGGAGAGGCAAGUAGGAAAUGACCGGGUUCAACAUAUUUAGUGGAUGCCCAUCUGGCAAGACUGCUACCAUUGUUCUUCGUGGUGGAGCUGAUCAGUUCAUUGAAGAAGUUGAGAGAAGUUUGCACGACGCAAUUAUGAUUGUUAGAAGAGCUAUGAAAAACUCUACUGUUGUUGCCGGUGGUGGCGCGAUUGAUAUGGAGAUUAGCCGUUAUUUAAG